UUUCUUCCGAAGAUCUAAAACGCAUUCCUACUGCUGAAGAAAAACACUCGAAGAUUUAUACUUGGAUAUAUCAUUUAGUGAUUUUGUUGUUGAAAGGACUAUCACAGCUAUGAAGGUCAGCGCUCUCCUCGUUGUCAUGCUGGUUUUUGCAAUGGUGAUUGCUGCACCAGAGGUUGUUAGUGCUAAAGCUGCGUCAAAUGAUGGCAGUGACGACAAACCAAAGGACGCAGUGAAUGAGAAGGGCUCUAAGGAAUCCGAAAAAGGAAACAAUAAUCCCAAGGAUCAAAGAUCCCGUAUUGGCUAUUUCUAGAGAGACAAGAACCAAAGGAUUAAACUGACUAAACUGGACACUGAAUUAACAUUUUCUUCCAAAUAAAAUAUAAUACAAUAAAAUGCAUAUUGCAGUA